AUGUUCCCUGCAUCUCUGCUGCUGCUGGCAGCUGCCUCCUGUGUGUGCGGCAUUGUUGACCCGGAACUCACCCAACCAAGCUCAAUGGUUGUAAAACCUGGAGAGUCUUGGAGCAUCAACUGUAAGGUGUCUGGGUAUUCUAUCAGUGAUGAUAGCUAUACCACAGACUGGAUUAGACAUCCUGUAGGUAAAGCUAUGGAAUGGAUCAGUGACUCAGAUGGAAACUGCAAGGAUUCUUUGAAAAGCAGGUUCAGCAUCUCCAAAGAUGGUUCCAACAACAUCGUGACUUUAGAAGGGCAGAGAAUUCAAACUGAAGACACAGCUAUGUAUUACUGUGUCAGAUAUAAUGACACACAGUGGUGUGAAGCAAGCAUGACCUGUACAAAAACAACAAAGAUGUCUGUCGCAUGA